GGUCAAAUCAAGAAAACUUAAGAUUUGACAAAGAAGCAACAUGAAAAGAAGAAAAAACAACUCAAAAAGGUACUACAGGAGAAAGAUACGGUUGAAAAGCUGUAUUGGACAUAACACUGUCAAGCAAGGAAGAUGAUACACUUAAAGAUGUUCAAGCAGCAAAUGAAGAAGUUAUUUAAAGUCUUCAAGAAGACACAGCCUCCCCAAGAGAACAUUCAUUUUCACCUCAGCAGGUAAAUGUCCUUGCCAUCAACUCAACUUCUAAAAGAAAAGAGACAUCUAUACAGACACCAGGACCAAUGACGGCAUCUAUCCCAAAGGCGUUACCCAAAAAAAGGAACAGAAGAAAGAAAACACAGCAAAAAUUGGUCAAAGUUGCGCUACACAGAAGAGAAGCUUCUGGAGAGGACCAAAGAGAUGGUCAACCUAAAGAAAAGACUGAAAAGACUUGAGAUGGUGGCCAAGAUGAAGCAAGUAAUUGUCAACAUUGAAGGCAGAGAGGUCCAGAAGAAAAAUACAAAGAGAGGUCAUCAGAGAACAUUACUCAAUAUCAGCCAGAGAAGACUAACGUGCACACUUGUGAUCUGCUUCCUUUAUUAAGAUGAUGUCUCCACUGCAAUAAAUGGAAAAUCCGGAGAAGUUCGGAAAAAAGGCCAAAUAUUCCGUAAGAGAGCCUUAACGGACACUAUGGCAAAUCUCCAAAGAUUUCUGUCUGAGAAUCCCAGGCACAACCUUUCCAAGGCUCAAUUCUUUAAACUUAAGCCAUUUUGGAUUGGCCAGUGAAGAGUCACAGACAGAGAAACAUGUGCUCGCAAAACGCAUGAAAACUUUGGCUUGAAGAUAAAGAAGCUGCACCAUCCCCAAGCGACACUGUACAGGCCAGUAUGUGUAGUGACGAUGACAUGUCUUGCAUGUACAAGACAUGCAGCAAUUGCAAGUAUAAGACAUUUCACACAACACUGGAUCAUCAUAAUAUGGGAGGAGUGGGUCGCUAAAUCUGUACCAAUAAAGAAAUGCAAAGAUGCAUUCACUGACGAGAAUGAAGUGAGGAAUGUGUUUCUUGAGAAAAGGCAUACCACCAUUGAAAAGCUGUUGGAUCUCAGAAGGGACCACCUCUCAAAUUUCUCCAGACACAUUUAUAAUAUCAAGCACCAGUCUGAAAGACUGAGGAGAUAAAGAGAGCCCCAGACACAGCAUGAUGUAAUGGUUCACAUAGACUACAGUGGGAACUAUGCUUGCAAAUACACCAGGGAAAUGAAAGAAACUCACUUUGGAGGUGGCAACCAGCAAAUAACCCUCCAUACUGGAGUUAUCUAUCUCAGUGGGGGCAGGGUGGAGUCAUUUGCAUCGCUGUCAGCCUGUUCUCAGCUGGCCCACAUCUAAUUUAUCUCAAUAGAACCAAGUUUUACCUAGCCUCAUCAGUGCCGUUCAAGCGAGUAUUUAAACAUGUAACGUCCCAUGGAAAGAGUGCUCCUGAUGGAGUAAACCUGGCUGACAGAAUUGUGUCCUAUGGUACCAGCAUACCAGAUGCCGACACCCUCUUUGAGCAGCUGAAUCUCAAUUCAUCUGCGAGGCUCUUCAAAAUAACAGAGGAAGACAUCAAAACAAGUGACGAAUUAGUACCGCUGUACCUGAAGGCAGUGCCUGGGACAAUGAAAAUUCAUCAGCUGAUAUCAACAAAACCAGGCGUUAUCCACACCUGAUAAGUGUCCUGCUUUUGUGAUUUUGCCUGUGGAUGCUUCAGUCCAAAACAAUUUGACUUCGGAGACAAUGUGGAGUCAGAAAAGGAGAAUGCUGGACCAGUUUUGGAAGUGGGAAAGUGGGUCCUUGUACAAUAUGACGGAGAACUGUUCCCUGGCACCAUCACACAGAUUGUCAAUGGUCAAUAUGAGGUCGACACCAUGAGCUGUGCUGGAGCAAACACAUUUUUCAUUCCAUCCAUCAGGUACUACUUUGACAACAUAAAAGCCAUCAUCCCAGAGCCACACUGUCACAUUCUCGGCUCGACACAUCUGUGUGUUGCCUGAGAUCUGGGCAAAGUAAACAAACAAACGUGUGUAAAACACUGAAACUGGAAGGAGAAAUUGGAAGGGAAAUGUAUAUGAGACACAACUAAUCAACAUUGGGGGAAAAAACAGUACCUGUUCCCAAAUUAACUGGACUGCUUCCAUGGAUUAGAAGUGUAUGGCGUGCACAGUAUAGUAUAUGCAUUUAUAUUUGUUUGAUAUUUUAGCUGUGUGCAAAUUGUACACGUCUGUUCUUGUUAGCAUGGUUAUUCAGAAUUAAUGUAUCCCCAUGUGACAAGUAUUGACAAAUCAGAAUGUAGUAUUUGCCUAAGGUAAUUUUUCAGUCCCGUGGUAAAAUGGGUUGUGUGUUUUUAGCAUAUGUUCUAAUGUUGCCCUGUUUAGCCCUGUUCUAAUGUUUUUGUAUGUGUUUUAUGUGUUCUCUGUUUUUAGCCUAUGUAUGUUAUGUACUUUUAAAGCACUACAAAAUGAAAUUGAUUGGAUUUGAAUCCAUGAUUAUGCCAAUGUUAUCUCAUUUAUUAUCUACAUUUAAUUUUAUAAUGUUUUAACCAUAACUCAGUCUUGCUAUAUUUAUUAUCAUUACCGAAAUCAUCAACCUAAUUUCUGAAACCUGUCUAUCAUUGCUGCAACAGGUGUUCAUUACAUGUUAAUUAAAUGAAUGGAAAAAUAGUAGCUUGCUUUCAAAUGCAUAUUCAGAAUCUAUACACGUUCUCUCAGGUUUGUCACAUCAUUUUGAAAAUAUGUCAGGUUUCAAUGAAAUAUUAAAAAUAUUAGGUUUUAGAUUGUGGAAGGUGUGGU